UACGUAGGGACCGAGCGUUGUCCGGAAUCAUUGGGCGUAAAGAGCGUGUAGGCGGCUAUUUAAGUCCUGCGUGAAAUCCUGCGGCUCAACCGCAGACGGUCGUGGGAAACUGGAUGGCUAGAGUGCGGGAGAGGAGAGUGGAAUUCCCGGUGUAGCGGUGAAAUGCGCAGAUAUCGGGAAGAACACCCGUGGCGAAAGCGGCUCACUGGACCACUACUGACGCUGAUGCGCGAAAGCUAGGGGAGCAAACAGG
rnacentral:rRNA from 1 species